ACCUCCGUAGGCCCUGUUUACGGUUCUGCAUUGGAUGAGUAACAAUUUAAAUCCCUUAUCGAGGAACAAUCUAGGAGGGCAAGUCUGGUGCCAGCAGCCGCGGUAAUUCCAGCUCCAGUAGCGUAUAUUAAAGUUGUUGCAGUUAAAAAGCUCGUAGUUGAAUUUCGGGGGUGGACGCGGGACUCGCCUUUCGGCGGUGUCUUGCGGUCUGCGCCUUACCUUCUGGGGAGCCGAUGUGCGCUUUACUGCGCGCGCCGGGGAACCAGGACUUUUACCUUGAAAAAAUUAGAGUGUUCAAGGCAGGCGAUAGCUUGGAUACAUUAGCAUGGAAUAAUGGAAUAGGACUUUGGUUCUAUUUCGUUGGCUUCUAGGACCAGAGUAAUGAUUAAUAGGAACAGUUGGGGGCGUUAGUAUUGAGCAUCUAGAGG
rnacentral:rRNA from 1 species